rnacentral:misc_RNA from 1 species
GAUGAAGAACGCAGCGAAAUGCGAUAAGUAAUGCGAAUUGCAGAAUUUCCGUGAGUCAUCGAAUCUUUGAACGCACAUUGCGCCCCUUGGUAUUCCAUGGGGCAUGCCUGUUCGAGCGUCAUUUGUACCCUCAAGCUUUGCUUGGUGUUGGGUGUUUGUCCCGCGUUGCGCGUGGACUCGCAUUAAAGCGAUUGGCAGCCGGCAUAUUGGCCUUGGAGCGCAGCACAUUUUGCGCUUCUAGUCAUGAAUGUUGGCGUCCAUUAAGCCUAUACAUUUGCUCUUGACCUCGGAUCAGGUAGGGAUACCCGCUGAACUUAAGCAUAUCAAUAAGCGGAGGA